rnacentral:rRNA from 1 species
GAUGAACGCUACGGCAGGCUAACACAUGCAAGUCAAGGAAGAGCUUUCGGGGCUUCGACCGGGCGUACGGGUGCGUAACGGGGUAUACAAUCUGCCUUUUCACAUAGGGAUAGCCCGAAGAAAUUUGGAUUAAUACCUAAUGGUAUAUAGGGGUGGCAUCACCUUUAUAUUAAAGCUGAGGCGGUGAAAGAUGAGUAUGCGUUCUAUUAGCUAGUUGGAGAGGUAACGGCUCCCCAAGGCGACGAUAGAUAGGGGUUCUGAGAGGGAUAUCCCCCACACUGGUACUGAGAUACGGACCAGACUCCUACGGGAGGCAGCAGUGAGGAAUAUUGGACAAUGGUCGGAAGACUGAUCCAGCCAUGCCGCGUGCAGGAAGACGGCCUUAUGGGUUGUAAACUGCUUUUGCAGGGGAAGAAUAAGGACUACGUGUAGUUUGAUGACGGUACUCUGCGAAUAAGCAUCGGCUAA